CGGGGAGUAGCGCAGUUGGCUAGCGCACAUGCUUUGGGAGCAUGGGGUCCCGGGUUCGAGUCCCGGCUCCCCGACCA
rnacentral:tRNA from 1 species